rnacentral:rRNA from 1 species
UCCAGACUCCUACGGGAGGCAGCAGUGAGGAAUAUUGGUCAAUGGGCGGAAGCCUGAACCAGCCAAGUCGCGUGAGGGAUUAAGGCCCUGCGGGUCGUAAACCUCUUUUGCCGGGGAGCAGUGGUCCGGACGCGUCCGGACCGGGAGAGUACCCGGAGAAAAAGCAUCGGCUAACUCCGUGCCAGCAGCCGCGGUAAUACGGAGGAUGCGAGCGUUAUCCGGAUUUAUUGGGUUUAAAGGGUGCGCAGGCGGAUUUUUAAGUCAGCAGUCAAAUCGUGGGGCUCAACCCCAUCCAGCCGUUGAAACUGGGGAUCUAGAGUGUGCGAGAGGUAUGCGGAAUGCGUGGUGUAGCGGUGAAAUGCAUAGAUAUCACGCAGAACCCCGAUUGCGAAGGCAGCAUACCGGUGCACAACUGACGCUCAGGCACGAAAGCGUGGGUAUCGAACAGGAUUAGAUACCCGUGUAGU